GUGGACUUAUCAUGGCCGCCGAAUGCCUGUAUUCGCAAGUACCUAGACCUGCUACUCAUUUGACCAAUUGAGCUUUUAGCAUACCUUACAGUAGUAAACAUAUGGAUGCAAAGUCCGUUUUCACGCGCCAAAUUUAAAUAUGCGGAAGCGGCAAGUUUUGGAAUAGUUCAUAAAUCACAUGGAUUACUCCUAAGGACGGUGAACUUUCUGCUUCAACGCCUUCCCAAGAAGAAACUGUCUGACAGUGAUAAAAGAAGCUCAAAUGAGACAUUUUGGGGAUUUUGACAUCUUGCGGUGCCUGUAUGUAGCAUUUGGCUUUGGAGUCGAAUGUGGAUAUACACUCUUAGGAAAAAAGGCUGAUGGGACCUAAAAGCAUAAAAACAGAGGGAUAUUUUUACUUCUCAAUAAUAGACUGUUGUGUGCAGUUCUUGACA
ensembl:lncRNA